rnacentral:misc_RNA from 1 species
UCAUUCUCUUCCACUUCAAAAUUCGAGGAAGGGUCUAUUUCAAGUGGGGAAGAAUGAUAUAGGAGCUAUCUUGGUUUGUUGAAAACUAUUCCAACUCGAGGACAAGUUUUUUCCAAGUGAGGGAGUAUGAUGUGGGCCUUGGAGUUCCACGCGGCAAAGAACACAGCCCUAGUGUGCUCCAGCAGUCCAGAACACACCCAAUGUGUG